rnacentral:rRNA from 1 species
UAAGGAAUAUUGGUCAAUGGACGCAAGUCUGAACCAGCCAUGCCGCGUGAAGGAUGAAGGUCCUCUGGAUUGUAAACUUCUUUUAUCUGGGACGAAAACGGGAUUUUUAUCUCAAUUGACGGUACCAGAGGAAUAAGCACCGGCUAACUCCGUGCCAGCAGCCGCGGUAAUACGGAGGGUGCGAGCGUUAUCCGGAUUUGCUGGGUUUAAAGGGUGCGUAGGUGGGCUUAUAAGUCAGUGGUGAAAUCUCCGAGCUUAACUUGGAAACUGCCGUUGAUACUAUAGGUCUUGAAUUAUCUGGAGGUGAGCGGAAUAUGGCAUGUAGCGGUGAAAUGCUUAGAUAUGACAUAGAACACCAAUUGCGAAGGCAGCUUACUACAUAUAAAUUGACGCUGAGGCACGAAAGCGUGGGGAUCAAACA